rfam:Rattus norvegicus chromosome 13, whole genome shotgun sequence.
GGGGAUUUAGCUCAGUGGUAGAGCGCUUGCCUAGUAAGCGCAAGGCCCUGGGUUCAGUCCCCA